UUUCGGGGCGUCACCGACGUGCAACAACAAGGCGACUUCCGGUUGUUCGUUUUCACGAGAUGUACUCUGAGCAUCACGCAUAACAAGUUCGCGUACAUUAGAUUAGCGUUUGGUAAAGAUUCGUUUUAAAGAAUGGUGACGUUUUUUAAGUGGUUGAUCAAACUGUCAAAUCAGCAUAUUUGAAUUUACCGCCUCAAGAGAAGAGGUUGCACUGCGGGCUGUCUGUAAGGUUGUAGUCGAUUAUAGUCAGUUCCGAGAUGCAGCAAGCUAGCUAGCAACACUGUCUUCUGAAGCCUAACGUUACCGGUCAAUUUAUCCUAAUUUCCCAUACUUAUAAAAGUAGUACAAGUCAAAAACUAGCGAUAACGCCAAAACAACGUUUUUUUUUCUUGGAGAGUUCGCAGUGUAACACUAUUUGGCUGGAUUUGACAUCAAUUAUUUCAAAUGUGUAUGCUAGCGAGGUAGGUCACUCAAUUCAGUAGGGUAUCAAAUGCAGAUAUUUUUACAGAGUUCACGUGUAGACCGUCAUAAUUUAGAGAGAGUAUGAGCGAAGGAGAAGUUUUCCAUGAGAAGCAGAGACUGGAGUUGUGUGCCAUCCACGCUCUGAACAACGUGCUUCAAGAGAGAGUAUUCACCAAGGAGACGGCAGACGACAUCUGCAAGCGCCUAGCCCCCCAAUGCGUUGUAAAUCCGCACCGCUCCAUGCUGGGCACAGGGAACUAUGAUGUUAAUGUCAUCAUGGCAGCUCUGCAGAGUCGUGGCCUGGCAGCAGUAUGGUGGGACAAACGAAGGACUGUGCAGAGCCUGCGUUUGGACAAAGUUCAGGGCUUCAUUCUCAACGUUCCCUCACGAGUGUCACUGGGAAUUGUGUCCCUUCCUCUCAGGCGGAGACACUGGCUUGCUGUACGACAGGUUGGGGGGAACUACUACAACUUGGACUCCAAGUUAAAGGGUCCCACAUGUAUUGGAGGGGAAGCAGAACUUCGCACCACCACAUAAAGACAUGGGGGCAUCAAUAUGGCCCCUCUCCCUAUGUUACGUAUAAAGAACAACAGGCUCAGUACCCACCAAUCAUCAAAGCACGUUUCUCGGUGAGCAGCUCUCUCAGGACGUCACGGAGAUGCUUCUGGUGGUCCAGAGGGAGGUGGAGGACGAUGGGUCAUGGCUGAACGCAGAUGACUCGAGAAAGUGAUAUCUCCAGAUGGAAUGCUCUUGCACUAGACGACCAACCCAGAUUCGAAGAAAGCUGACUGUACGGGAUGCCCCCCUCCACAUAAGCACCGCAGGUGUUUGGAGAUUUGAUGGAUCACGGACACAUACUCAUAACAAUGUCCUCAAGGAGGACUGUUACCAUGAAGGACUGAUUUAUUUGAAUGAUUACAAGCUGAGUGAAUAUCACUUCAAGAGUAGCAUUACCUACUCUCUCUAACUCUCUCUCUCUCUCUCUCUCUCUCUCUCUCUUUCUCUCUUUCUCUUUCACUCUCUCUCACUACAGUCUCAAAUGUCUUUUUCUCAGGUUGAUAAGUACUUGAUUCGAAGGUGUGAGAAUCAAUAGUUCUCCAAUGUUCUUCUCUUUUAAUGCAUCUAUGCACUGCACUGCUUCAGUAGACACGAUGGAAUUGGCUUGUCUUUCUCCAUCUAUGCACAGAAGUGUUUCACAACAGCUGACUGGCCAGCUGUCUGUAUAUUGUUCUACGUCUGUCUUUUGUGGUGUCUGUCUGUUGAACUAUGCAUUCUAUAGUGACCCAAGACUUCUCGAGAGAUGUCUUUCAGGAUUUCACCUUUUGGUCUCUUGUCAGUGAAGCUCAGAGGAAAUGAAAACAACUAAUAAAGUGAACUGAUGUUAUUUAUAAGAACCUAA